rnacentral:rRNA from 1 species
GCAGCCGCGGUAAUACGUAGGGGGCAAGCGUUAUCCGGAUUUACUGGGUGUAAAGGGAGCGUAGGCGGCGGAGCAAGUCAGAAGUGAAAGCCCGGGGCUCAACCCCGGGACGGCUUUUGAAACUGCCCUGCUUGAUUUCAGGAGAGGUAAGCGGAAUUCCUAGUGUAGCGGUGAAAUGCGUAGAUAUUAGGAGGAACACCAGUGGCGAAGGCGGCUUACUGGACUGACAAUGACGCUGAGGCUCGAAAGCGUGGGGAGCAAACAGGAUUAGAUACCCC